UACGUAGGGGGCAAGCGUUGUCCGGAAUCAUUGGGCGUAAAGAGCGCGUAGGCGGCCCUGUAAGUCCGCUGUGAAAGUCGGGGGCUCAACCCUCGAAUGCCGGUGGAUACUGUCGGGCUAGAGUGCGGAAGAGGCGAGUGGAAUUCCUGGUGUAGCGGUGAAAUGCGCAGAUAUCAGGAGGAACACCAAUUGCGAAGGCAGCUCGCUGGGACGUAACUGACGCUGAGACGCGAAAGCGUGGGGAGCAAACAGG
rnacentral:rRNA from 1 species